UACUGACGCUGAAGCUCGAAGGUGCGGGUAUCGAACAGGAUUAGAUACCCUGGUAGUCCGCACAGUAAACGAUGGAUGCUCGUUGUUCGCCCAUUUGAGGGUGAGUGACUUAGGGAAACCGUUAAGCAUCCCACCUGGGGAGUACGCCGGCAACGGUGAAACUCAAAGGAAUUGACGGGGGCCCGCACAAGCGGAGGAACAUGUGGUUUAAUUCGAUGAUACGCGAGGAACCUUACCCGGGCUUGAACUGUAGGAGAACGAUACAGAGAUGUUGAGGUCCUUCGGGACUCCUAUGGAGGUGCUGCAUGGUUGUCGUCAGCUCGUGCCGUGAGGUGUCGGCUUAAGUGCCAUAACGAGCGCAACCCUUUUCGUCAGUUGCCAUCAGGUCAUGCUGGGCACUCUGGUGAUACUGCCGCCGCAAGGUGUGAGGAAGGUGGGGAUGACGUCAAAUCAGCACGGCCCUUACGUCCGGGGCUACACACGUGUUACAAUGGGGCAUACAGAAGGCCGGUUCGUGGCAACACGGAUCCAAUCUUUAAAGUGCCUCGUAGUUCGGAUUGGGGUCUGCAACCCGACCCCAUGAAGCUGGAUUCGCUAGUA
rnacentral:rRNA from 1 species